UACGUAGGGUGCGAGCGUUAAUCGGAAUUACUGGGCGUAAAGCGUGCGCAGGCGGUUCGUGAUGUCUGGUGUGAAAGCCCCGGGCUUAACCUGGGAAUUGCAUUGGAAACUAGCGGGCUGGAGUGUGGCAGAGGGGGGUGGAAUUCCACGUGUAGCAGUGAAAUGCAUAGAGAUGUGGAGGAACACCGAUGGCGAAGGCAGCCCCCUGGGCUAACACUGACGCUCAUGCACGAAAGCGUGGGGAGCAAACAGG
rnacentral:rRNA from 1 species